rnacentral:tRNA from 1 species
GGGAAGGUGGCUCAGUGGUAGAGUGCUUGCCUUGCAUGCAUGAGGCCCUGGUCCCAUUCCU